GGAGCUGGUAUCAGGCACAGACCCUUGCCCAUAACACCUAGCUUUGCCACGCCCUCAAGGGUACUCAGCAGUGAUUAACAUUGUUCAUAAGCGUCAGCUUGACUCAGUCAGAGCAAAUAGAGCCGGCUAAUCCGGUGCCAGCCGCCGCGGCUACACCGUCGGGCUCAAGUUGACAACUGCUCGGCGUUAAGCGUGUUUAAAGUGACAUUAAAACAUUAGAAUUAAACUUUAACCAAGUCGUGACACACUUGUUCUUAAGAAAAACAAAACCGAAAGCUAUUCUAAAAUAACCACUUGAACCCACGACAGCUAGGACACAAACUGGGAUUAGGUACCCCACUAUGCCUAGCCGUAAAAUAUUUACCUACACCUUACCCGCCAGGGAAUUACGAGCUCAAGCUUAAAACCCAAAGGACUUGACGGUGUCCCACCCACCUAGAGGAGCCUGUUCUAUAAUCGAUUCCCCCCGAUCCACCUCACCACUUCUAGCUAUCUCAGCCUGUAUACCUCCGUCGUAAGCUUACCAUAUGAACGUUUAUUCAGUGAGCAAAAAGAUUCUUCAUAAAUACGUCAGGUCAAGGUGCAGCCCACGAAGCGGGAAGUAAUGGGCUACAAUUUCUACCAUAGAACACACGAAAGACUACAUGCAACUCAGUCAUGAAGGCGGAUUUAGUAGUAAAAAGAAAAUAGAGAGUUCUUUUUAACCAGGCGCUGGGACGCGUACACACCGCCCGUCACCCUCUUCAAACGCUUAAACUAUGUUCUUAACAACUACUUAUACAACAGAAGAGGUAAGUCGUAACACGGUAAGCGUACUGGAAGGUGCGCUUGGAUUA
rnacentral:ncRNA from 1 species